UACGUAGGGGGCGAGCGUUGUCCGGAAUCAUUGGGCGUAAAGCGCGUGUAGGCGGCCAGAUAAGUCCGUUCUGAAAGCCCGGGGCUCAACCCCGGAACUGCCUUUAAGACUGCAUCGCUUGAAUCCAGGAGAGGUGAGUGGAAUUCCGAGUGUAGAGGUGAAAUUCGUAGAUAUUCGGAAGAACACCAGUGGCGAAGGCGGCUCACUGGCCUGGUAUUGACGCUGAGGUACGAAAGCGUGGGGAGCAAACAGG
rnacentral:rRNA from 1 species